rnacentral:rRNA from 1 species
AUGGUGGCAAGUGAGCGAGGAUCGGGUCGUCGCAUCCUUAGUGGCGCGCUACAUCGGUGCCCGGAUGUAGUGGAAAAUGAGCAAGGGUCUUCGCAUUUGACUCGACGAGUGCGAAGGGUAAGGAAGCUAGCCGAGCCUAGGAGGAUUCGCUUAGGUAGCUGGAACAUAGGGUCUCUGACAGGGAAGCUUCGGGAGCUAGUUGAUGCAGCAGUGAGGAGAGGUGUUGAUAUCCUUUGCGUCCAAGAAACCAAAUGGAGAGGACAGAAGGCGAAGGAGGUGGAGGAUACCGGCUUCAAGCUGUGGUACACGGGGACGGCUGCAAACAGAAAUGGCGUAGGCAUCUUGAUCAACAAGAGCCUCAAGUAUGGAGUGGUAGACGUCAGGAGACGCGGGGACCGGAUUAUCCCGGUCAAGCUGGUAGCUGAGGACUUGGUUCUCAAUGUUAUCAGCGCAUAUGCCCCGCAAGUAGGCCACAAUGAGAACACCAAGAGGGAGUUCUGGGAAGGCUUGGAAGACAUGGUUAGGAGUGUACCGAUUGGUGAGAAGCUAUUCAUAGGAGGAGACCUCAAUGGCCACGUGGGUACAUCUAACACAGGUUUUGAAGGGGCGCAUGGGGGCUUUGGCUAUGGCAUCAGGAAUCAAGAAGGAGAAGAUGUCUUAAGCUUUGCUCUAGCCUACAACAUGAUUGUAGCUAACACCCUCUUUAGAAAGUGA